GCAGCCGCCGCGGUAAUACGGAGGGGGCUAGCGUUGUUCGGAAUUACUGGGCGUAAAGCGCACGUAGGCGGCUUGGUAAGUUAGAGGUGAAAGCCCGGAGCUCAACUCCGGAAUUGCCUUUAAGACUGCCGAGCUAGUAGGUGAGAGGGGUAAGUGGAAUUCCGAGUGUAGAGGUGAAAUUCGUAGAUAUUCGGAAGAACACCAGUGGCGAAGGCGGCUCACUGGACGACUGUUGACGCUGAGGUACGAAAGCGUGGGGAGCAAACAGGAUUAGAUACCCCAGUAGUCCCUGUCUCUUAUAC
rnacentral:rRNA from 1 species